rnacentral:rRNA from 1 species
GAUGAACGCUGGCGGCGUGCCUAAUACAUGCAAGUCGAGCGAACAGACGAGGAGCUUGCUCCUCUGACGUUAGCGGCGGACGGGUGAGUAACACGUGGAUAACCUACCUAUAAGACUGGGAUAACUUCGGGAACCGGAGCUAAUACCGGAUAAUAUAUUGAACCGCAUGGUUCAAUAGUGAAAGACGGUUUUGCUGUCACUUAUAGAUGGAUCCGCGCCGCAUUAGCUAGUUGGUAAGGUAACGGCUUACCAAGGCAACGAUGCGUAGCCGACCUGAGAGGGUGAUCGGCCACACUGGAACUGAGACACGGUCCAGACUCCUACGGGAGGCAGCAGUAGGGAAUCUUCCGCAAUGGGCGAAAGCCUGACGCAGCAACGCCGCGUGAGUGAUGAAGGUCUUCGGAUCGUAAAACUCUGUUAUUAGGGAAGAACAAAUGUGUAAGUAACUAUGCACGUCUUGACGGUACCUAAUCAGAAAGCCACGGCUAACUACGUG